rnacentral:rRNA from 1 species
GUCCCCGCACAAGCAGCGGAGCGUGUGGUUUAAUUCGUUGCUACACGAAGAACCUUACCUGGGUUUGACAUAGCAGUGGUAGGGAAGCGAAAGCGGACCGACCCUUCGGGGAGCUGUUACAGGUGUUGCAUGGCUGUCGUCAGCUCGUGUCGUGAGAUGUUCGGUUAAGUCCGCUAACGAGCGCAACCCUCGUGAUGUGUUACAAGUGUCACAUCAUACUGCCGGUAUUAAGUCGGAGGAAGGUGGGGAUGACGUCAAGUCAGCAUGACCUUUAUAUCCAGGGCUACACACACGCUACAAUGGUCUGUACAAUAGGUUGCCAAGCCGCGAGGCGGAGCCAAUCCUAAAAAGCAGGCCUCAGUUCAGAUUGCAGUCUGCAACUCGACUGCAUGAAGUUGGAGUUGCUAGUAAACGCAGGUCAGCUAUACUGCGUUGAAUACGUUCUCGGGGAUUGUACACACCGCCCGUCAAGUCAUGGGAGCUGGCAACACCUGAAGCCGGUAUCCUAACCCGCAAGGGAGGGAGCUGUCAAAGGUGGGGUUGGUGACUGGGACU